rfam:Salmo salar isolate Sally breed double haploid chromosome ssa25, whole genome shotgun sequence.
UGCAUUCACUACUGUAAGUCGCUCUGGAUAAGAGCAUCUGCCAAAUGACUCAAA